rnacentral:rRNA from 1 species
UACAGAGGGUGCGAGCGUUGUCCGGAAUCACUGGGCGUAAAGGGCGCGUAGGCGGCUCGGUAAGCGUGCGGUGAAAGCCCGGGGCUCAACCCCGGGUCGGCCGUGCGAACUGCGGAGCUGGAGCACUGUAGAGGCAGGUGGAAUUCCGGGUGUAGCGGUGGAAUGCGUAGAGAUCCGGAAGAACACCGGUGGCGAAGGCGCCACUCUGGGCCGAAACUGACGCUGAGGAGCGAAAGCGUGGGUAGCAAACAGG